UCUCCUAUCCUCACCUGUGCUCAUGAGCUUUGGGUAAUAAAUGAAAGAGCAAGGUUGCGGAUACAAGCAGCAGAGACGAGCUUCCUCCAUCAGGUAUCUACACUCGGGGACAGGGUGAGAGGUUCAGAUAUCUGGGAGGGAUUCGUACAGCCGCUGCUCCUUCGCAUCAAAAGGAGCUAGUUGAGGCAGUUCGAGCAUCUGGUUAGGAUGUCCUCUGGUCUUCUCCCUAGGAAGGCCUUUCAGGCAUGUCCAACUGGGAGAAGGCUCAAGGGAAGACACACUGGAGGGAUUAUAUUUCUCACAUGCUUUAGUUA